rnacentral:siRNA from 1 species
UAAAGUCCGAUUUAACAAGUUUGC